GAGAAGGAGAGAUUGGAGAGAGAGAUCUGCGAGAGUGAGAAGCGGAGUCGAGAACGAACGUCGCAUCCUACGGCGACCAUGGCGUCCGAGCCUUGAACGACGACCUCUCUCGGCCAACGUCCCCGACACCCCACCCCCCGGCGUCCGUGUUUCCGGUGAGCCCUUUUCUUGGUCCCGAACCCCCAUACCCGAGGAUCUCGGCUCGGAGGCGUCGAGGCAGUCAGCCAUGAAACGAUUUGUGUCGAGUGCACCCUUUAACCGUCGUCUCCUAGCCAAGUGUGCUAAGUUUGGGUGAGCUGAUGUGGUUAUUUUGGCUGGUCUGGUGAUGGUUUCCGUUGGGUCUAUAUCUCGAUUUGAGUUUAAAAAAAUGUUCAAUGUCUCAUCCUCGACUCUUGUUCACCACGUGUUUGACAGUACGCCCAACUCAGCCCGUGUACUGGCUUUGCUGAUUUCCAUUUGUUCUUACGUGCGUAUAAGCAAGUUCGACAUUGUUAUAAACUCUUUGUUGCUUGUUGAGCAUUACUUUCAUAGUCGAACCAAGUCUGAGCAUGAGAUUUUCUUUGAGCAUUCUUGUGCAUGAGGAAAUGAUAAAUGUCCAUGCUUGAAACGUCAAUCUUUUGAGACA